rnacentral:lncRNA from 1 species
AUGUUCAGGCGUCUUACACUGUGGACAAUAUCAGAACAUACAGAAGAUUCCUCUAGUGGGCAACUGUUUUCAGGCUCUGUGCCUGUCUUCGAACAAAGAAGUCUGACUCAUUACCCGAGCGACCAGACGACUCUUUCAUCUGAAUCAUCAGGAACAUAUUCUCAACUGCGCUUUAAGACUGAAACAGAAAAUGUGGAAAAUGUAGAGAAAAACAGAGAAGAGGAAAUCAAGAAAAAGAGGAGUAGAAUAUAUUCAUUUUUCUGGAAUAAAUCUAAAGAAGAUGAUUCAGGAUCCCCAGAAUCCAGAGGUUUCAAUGUUUUAUCAUGUAUUAAACGGAGGAAAAAUUCCAAGAAAUAA